rnacentral:rRNA from 1 species
AGGGAAACCGAGUCUUAACUGGGCGUUAAGUUGCAGGGUAUAGACCCGAAACCCGGUGAUCUAGCCAUGGGCAGGUUGAAGGUUGGGUAACACUAACUGGAGGACCGAACCGACUAAUGUUGAAAAAUUAGCGGAUGACUUGUGGCUGGGGGUGAAAGGCCAAUCAAACCGGGAGAUAGCUGGUUCUCCCCGAAAGCUAUUUAGGUAGCGCCUCGUGAACUCAUCUUCGGGGGUAGAGCACUGUUUCGGCUAGGGGGUCAUCCCGACUUACCAACCCGAUGCAAACUACGAAUACCGAAGAAUGUUAUCACGGGAGACACACGGCGGGUGCUAACGUCCGUCGUGAAGAGGGAAACAACCCAGACCGCCAGCUAAGGUCCCAAAGUCAUGGUUAAGUGGGAAACGAUGUGGGAAGGCACAGACAGCCAGGAUGUUGGCUUAGAAGCAGCCAUCAUUUAAAGAAAGCGUAAUAGCUCACUGGUCGAGUCGGCCUGCGCGGAAGAUGUAACGGGGCUAAACCAUGCACCGAAGCUGCGGCAGCGACACUAUGUGUUGUUGGGUAGGGGAGCGUUCUGUAAGCCUGCGAAGGUGGCCUGUGAGGGUUGCUGGAGGUAUCAGAAGUGCGAAUGCUGACAUAAGUAACGAUAAAGCGGGUGAAAAGCCCGCUCGCCGGAAGACCAAGGGUUCCUGUCCAACGUUAAUCGGGGCAGGGUGAGUCGACCCCUAAGGCGAGGCCGAAAGGCGUAGUCGAUGGGAAACAGGUUAAUAUUCCUGUACUUGGUGUUACUGCGAAGGGGGGACGGAGAAGGCUAUGUUAGCCGGGCGACGGUUGUCCCGGUUUAAGCAUGUAGGCUGGUUAUCCAGGCAAAUCCGGAUAAUCAAGGCUGAGGUGUGAUGACGAGGCACUACGGUGCUGAAGUAACAAAUGCCCUGCUUCCAGGAAAAGCCUCUAAGCAUCAGGUAACACGAAAUCGUACCCCAAACCGACACAGGUGGUCAGGUAGAGAAUACCAAGGCGCUUGAGAGAACUCGGGUGAAGGAACUAGGCAAAAUGGUGCCGUAACUUCGGGAGAAGGCACGCUGGUGUGUAGGUGA